rnacentral:rRNA from 1 species
GACGUAGGGGGCCAGCGUUGUUCGGAAUUACUGGGUGUAAAGGGUUCGUAGGCGGUGUGGCAAGUCAGGCGUGAAAGCCCCGGGCUCAACCUGGGAACCGCGCUUGAGACUGGCACGCUCGAGUUCGGGAGAGGAUGGUGGAAUUCCCAGUGUAGAGGUGAAAUUCGUAAAUAUUGGGAAGAACACCGAUGGCGAAGGCAGCCAUCUGGACCGACACUGACGCUGAGGCGCGAAAGCGUGGGGAGCAAACAGG